ACAUAUAUGAAAUGGGUGUUUUCUGUCCUUAUAGCAAGAGUGCUAGUUUCCAUCAAGCCAAUUAAUGAAUGGGAGGCGAUGUUCAGUGUGAAUACCAGGGGCUGCUAUCUGAUCGGAGGAGAGCUGGGGGCAUUGCCUGCAUCUUAGUGCAAGUCAUCAGUUAAAGGAAAUGAAACCAAAGCCCUAGUUUGACUUUCUUUGUGGAUUAGUCUGUGCUAAUUAUUGCUGUUAAUAGAACUGUGAGCCCUCAAGGCCCCAAACAUGCAAAGACUUGUGCUGCUGUUUUGCGUGCCCAUUGAAUCCAGAACUGACAAACAACUGCCUGCAAAGUUAAAGGUGCCUUGUGAAGUUCCAUGUCUCUUCAGAUUUCAGGGAUAGAUGUUGCUUCAGAUACCCAUGACCUGUUUUGAACCCAGCUGAUUCAGGGUCGUGCAGAUCCAAAUGCCACUAUCUGCUCAGCUACUCUGAAGUCUGAUCCAGCUAAAGAAACUAAAACAAACCAGCAUGACACCAGUGAGAUUUCUCAGGUGCAAGUUAAUUACUGAAAAUUCCUGGCCUCUGAGCCGAUCGGGACUAAUUAAACCUCAUGCUCCCUUCAGCAUAGCAGUGGAUGCCAUAUAGUACUGCAUUCAUCUAAGAGCAAUGAAAACCUGUGCGGAUUGCCCAGUGCAGUUCCAGCUGCAGGGCAGGUCCAAUGGUUUCAGCUGUUACAAGCAAGCAAACUGGCAGUGGCUUCUAUCAGCAUUAAGGUAGCUGAUCGACCAUGACAUGAGGAAAAGCACACGGUUCCACACAAGACUCAUCAAGGAAUGAAAGUCGUAGGCCCUCUCCCGUCUUCUCAUUCCUAGGUCAGAAAUAACAUCAAAUUACUUAUUAAUUAAUCAACCACCUGACUUCCUGUGAAUAACAAAAAUUAGGCAAGUUUGGAGGGUGGAAGUAAUCUUUUCUUGUAUGUGCUCAAGCCAUUAUGGAAACAGCACCACCAAUAAAGGGAAAGGAUGGGGAAAUUUCACUGUGUGUACUGGGGGAGAGAAAGGUCAGUUCUUUGGAGAGUCCAAAAAGAAUGGCAUUUUUCAGGAGCUUGAUGAAACUGGGUGGGAUAAUGGAAGAGAAAGUCUCAAAAAAAUCCCUGUAUCUGCAGAAAAGCUCAGGUGUGCAUUUGUUCUUAUUAGUCCCUAGAGAAUCCACACGGGGUUCUCAUUCUAGGGGACUCAACCACAAACGCUUCAGUUGGAGCUUGCAUCUUUCUGAAAGUCCAUUAGUUAAUCUGUAGGAAAUCAGGCUUGAUGCCUUUCAGUGCUCACAAGAUUACUAGUGUUCUUUCUGGAACACAGACAGGCAAAUUGCUGAGAUGACAAAGAUAUCCGACGUGUCUUCCAAGAAUGUCUCUCACCCUUUCAUGAAUGUUUAAAUCUCUCCAUUUCCCAAAUGCGUGCUUAUUUGACAUUUUUAUAACUAACAGGUGUUUUAUGUAGUUUUGUUGGUACCUCAAACUUACUCAAGAACAUGAAAAAGGGUCUCUCGUUAUCUGGUCUACACCAAUUGACAUUAUCUCAAACCAUCUUCAAAUUUCUUUCCAUUCACCUCCAUAACUCUUCCUACAGGCUGUCCUCCAACUUGUCUUCAUAUCUCUAUGGUUAUCUAUUAGAAAGCUGUCACUUGGCCAGACUCUUUUUAAUGUGUUCUGUUGUCAAGAUUUGACACUCCAGUGAAGUGUAUUCAGACUUUUUUGAUCUAUAGAAAUUUUUUAUCGGUGAUGAGGAGCCUUUCAGAAAUUUCACAUGCAUAGAUUGCUGUACAGCGUACAUGAACUUGCUGUUCUCACUCGCCCUGCACAUAUCUGUUAGUAGCAGUCCAUGUAUAU